CGGGACGGGUGAGUAAUGUCUGGGAAACUGCCUGAUGGAGGGGGAUAACUGCUGGAAACGGUAGCUAAUACCGCAUAACGUCGCAAGACCAAAGAGGGGGACCUUCGGGCCUCUUGCCAUCGGAUGUGCCCAGAUGGGAUUAGCUAGUAGGUGGGGUAACGGCUCACCUAGGCGACGAUCCCUAGCUGGUCUGAGAGGAUGACCAGCCACACUGGAACUGAGACACGGUCCGG
rnacentral:rRNA from 1 species